rnacentral:rRNA from 1 species
GAUUAAGUUAUUAAGGGCGCACGGUGGAUGCCUUGGCACUAGAAGCCGAUGAAGGACGUUACUAACGACGAUAUGCUUUGGGGAGCUGUAAGUAAGCUUUGAUCCAGAGAUUUCCGAAUGGGGAAACCCAGCAUGAGUUAUGUCAUGUUAUCGAUAUGUGAAUACAUAGCAUAUCAGAAGGCACACCCGGAGAACUGAAACAUCUUAGUACCCGGAGGAAGAGAAAGAAAAUUCGAUUCCCUUAGUAGCGGCGAGCGAAACGGGAAGAGCCCAAACCAACAAGCUUGCUUGUUGGGGUUGUAGGACACUCUAUACGGAGUUACAAAGGACGACAUUAGACGAAUCAUCUGGAAAGAUGAAUCAAAGAAGGUAAUAAUCCUGUAGUCGAAAAUGUUGUCUCUCUUGAGUGGAUCCUGAGUACGACGGAGCACGUGAAAUUCCGUCGGAAUCUGGGAGGACCAUCUCCUAAGGCUAAAUACUCUCUAGUGACCGAUAGUGAACCAGUACCGUGAGGGAAAGGUGAAAAGCACCCCGGAAGGGGAGUGAAAUAGAACCUGAAACCGUGUGCUUACAAGUAGUCAGAGCCCGUUAAUGGGUGAUGGCGUGCCUUUUGUAGAAUGAACCGGCGAGUUACGAUUUGAUGCAAGGUUAAGCAGUAAAUGUGGAGCCGUAGCGAAAGCGAGUCUGAAUAGGGCGUUUAGUAUUUGGUCGUAGACCCGAAACCAGGUGAUCUACCCUUGGUCAGGUUGAAGUUCAGGUAACACUGAAUGGAGGACCGAACCGACUUACGUUGAAAAGUGAGCGGAUGAACUGAGGGUAGCGGAGAAAUUCCAAUCGAACCUGGAGAUAGCUGGUUCUCUCCGAAAUAGCUUUAGGGCUAGCCUCAAGUGAUGAUUAUUGGAGGUAGAGCACUGUUUGGACGAGGGGCCCCUCUCGGGUUACCGAAUUCAGACAAACUCCGAAUGCCAAUUAAUUUAACUUGGGAGUCAGAACAUGGGUGAUAAGGUCCGUGUUCGAAAGGGAAACAGCCCAGACCACCAGCUAAGGUCCCAAAAUAUAUGUUAAGUGGAAAAGGAUGUGGCGUUGCCCAGACAACUAGGAUGUUGGCUUAGAAGCAGCCAUCAUUUAAAGAGUGCGUAAUAGCUCACUAGUCGAGUGACACUGCGCCGAAAAUGUACCGGGGCUAAACAUAUUACCGAAGCUGUGGAUUGUCCUUUGGACAAUGGUAGGAGAGCGUUCUAAGGGCGUUGAAGCAUGAUCGUAAGGNNNNNNNNNNNNNNNNNNNNNNNNNNNNNNNNNNNNNNNNNNNNNNNNNNNNNNNNNNNNNNNNNNNNNNNNNNNNNNNNNNNNNNNNNNNNNNNNNNGACAUGUGGAGCGCUUAGAAGUGAGAAUGCCGGUGUGAGUAGCGAAAGACGGGUGAGAAUCCCGUCCACCGAUUGACUAAGGUUUCCAGAGGAAGGCUCGUCCGCUCUGGGUUAGUCGGGUCCUAAGCUGAGGCCGACAGGCGUAGGCGAUGGAUAACAGGUUGAUAUUCCUGUACCACCUAUAAUCGUUUUAAUCGAUGGGGGGACGCAGUAGGAUAGGCGAAGCGUGCGAUUGGAUUGCACGUCUAAGCAGUAAGGCUGAGUAUUAGGCAAAUCCGGUACUCGUUAAGGCUGAGCUGUGAUGGGGAGAAGACAUUGUGUCUUCGAGUCGUUGAUUUCACACUGCCGAGAAAAGCCUCUAGAUAGAAAAUAGGUGCCCGUACCGCAAACCGACACAGGUAGUCAAGAUGAGAAUUCUAAGGUGAGCGAGCGAACUCUCGUUAAGGAACUCGGCAAAAUGACCCCGUAACUUCGGGAGAAGGGGUGCUCUUUAGGGUUAACGCCCAGAAGAGCCGCAGUGAAUAGGCCCAAGCGACUGUUUAUCAAAAACACAGGUCUCUGCUAAACCGUAAGGUGAUGUAUAGGGGCUGACGCCUGCCCGGUGCUGGAAGGUUAAGAGGAGUGGUUAGCUUCUGCGAAGCUACGAAUCGAAGCCCCAGUAAACGGCGGCCGUAACUAUAACGGUCCUAAGGUAGCGAAAUUCCUUGUCGGGUAAGUUCCGACCCGCACGAAAGGCGUAACGAUUUGGGCACUGUCUCAACGAGAGACUCGGUGAAAUCAUAGUACCUGUGAAGAUGCAGGUUACCCGCGACAGGACGGAAAGACCCCGUGGAGCUUUACUGUAGCCUGAUAUUGAAAUUCGGCACAGCUUGUACAGGAUAGGUAGGAGCCUUUGAAACGUGAGCGCUAGCUUACGUGGAGGCGCUGGUGGGAUACUACCCUAGCUGUGUUGGCUUUCUAACCCGCACCACUUAUCGUGGUGGGAGACAGUGUCAGGCGGGCAGUUUGACUGGGGCGGUCGCCUCCUAAAAGGUAACGGAGGCGCUCAAAGGUUCCCUCAGAAUGGUUGGAAAUCAUUCAUAGAGUGUAAAGGCAUAAGGGAGCUUGACUGCGAGACCUACAAGUCGAGCAGGGUCGAAAGACGGACUUAGUGAUCCGGUGGUUCCGCAUGGAAGGGCCAUCGCUCAACGGAUAAAAGCUACCCCGGGGAUAACAGGCUUAUCUCCCCCAAGAGUUCACAUCGACGGGGAGGUUUGGCACCUCGAUGUCGGCUCAUCGCAUCCUGGGGCUGUAGUCGGUCCCAAGGGUUGGGCUGUUCGCCCAUUAAAGCGGUACGCGAGCUGGGUUCAGAACGUCGUGAGACAGUUCGGUCCCUAUCCGUCGUGGGCGUAGGAAAUUUGAGAGGAGCUGUCCUUAGUACGAGAGGACCGGGAUGGACAUACCUCUGGUGUACCAGUUGUCGUGCCAACGGCAUAGCUGGGUAGCUAUGUGUGGACGGGAUAAGUGCUGAAAGCAUCUAAGCAUGAAGCCCCCCUCAAGAUGAGAUUUCCCAACUUCGGUUAUAAGAUCCCUCAAAGAUGAUGAGGUUAAUAGGUUCGAGGUGGAAGCAUGGUGACAUGUGGAGCUGACGAAUACUAAUCGAUCGAAGACUUAAUCAA